CACAUACAAAUACCGCCCCUCACAAUGACGUCAUUUGCUUCAUUGAGUGCAGCGUCUGACAUUGAUCAGUGACGUGUUGUGGACUGUAAGCCUGUUGAACAGAAGCAGAGACGUGUGGACAGACACUGACUGUACUGAUGACGAUCAUCUGCUGCUGCACAGGCUGUAAAGUAUAACCCCUGCUGGACACGGCUCCGGAAGCUCCAGGGGGAGACCGAACUGGUAUCCCCCCUUCUUCAGGCGCGCCUCACACUCACUCACCAUUCACACAUAUCGCAGAGUUCUGGCUGGCAUUGAACCAGCAACCCCUGAAGCCGUGGGGCAGCGCUCUUACCACAGAGCCACAGAUCUCCUUGUCUGAACACUUGCUGGAACUGAUGUUGGACUGCUGACCUGUGUGUGAGCUGAUUCAAUAAAACAAGAAUAUAUGUCAGAUCUGAA